rnacentral:rRNA from 1 species
AGAGUUUGAUCCUGGCUCAGAAUGAACGCUGGCGGCGUGCCUAACACAUGCAAGUCGGAUGUGCCGCAAGGUGCAUGGCAGACGGGUGAGUAACGCGUGGGGAAUCUACCUCUUUGUGGGGAAUAACGCUCCGAAAGGAGUGGUAAUACCGCAUGAGACCAAUGGCUGGAAUGUUGUUGGUGAAACCUGGGGACCGCAAGGCCUGGGGCAAGGAGAGGAUCCUGCGUCUGAUUAGCUAGUUGGCGGGGUAACGGCCCACCAAGGCGACGAUCAGUAGCCGGCCUGAGAGGGUGAUCGGCCACACUGGAACUGAGACACGGUCCAGACUCCUACGGGAGGCAGCAGUGGGGAAUUUUGCGCAAUGGGCGAAAGCCUGACGCAGCAACGCCGCGUGGGUGAUGAAGGUCUUCGG